CACGGCUCCUCCUCGCAGCCCGCAGCGCCCCGGCCCCAUCGCCGCCGCCCCCGCCUCCUCCUCCUCCUCCUCUGCCUCCUCCCCUCGCCCGGGGCACCGGCGGCGCUGCGGCGGGGACGCUCCCGGUGCGGGGGCGGGGAGGGAGGAGGUGGAGGAGGAGGAGGAGGAGGAAGGCUCCGGCCCCGCUCGCCCGGCAGCGCGACGGCGGCCCCCGGAUGGUUGCGGUUUGCCGAGGGCCGAAGCGUGCACCGUGUGCCUGGAUUUUUCGGCACGCUCCGUAGUCCUGAACAAACAGGAACAUAAUCUCCGUCUGCCUUGAGCUUGAAUGGUCUCAGUGUGAUAAAUAAUAUGCUAAAUAAUUUAUUAUAUAUUUUUAAAAUAAAAUUAAAGCAAUCUA